GAUGAAGAACGUAGCGAAAUGCGAUAAGUAAUGUGAAUUGCAGAAUUCAGUGAAUCAUCGAAUCAUUGAACGCACAUUGCGCCCCCUGGUAUUCCGGGGGGCAUGCCUGUCCGAGCGUCAUUACAACCCCCAAGCUCAGCUUGGUGUUGGGCCCCGCCGCCCCGGCGGGCCCUAAAGUCAGUGGCGGUGCCGUCCGGCUCCGAGCGUAGUAAUUCUUCUCGCUCUGGAGGUCCGGUCGUGUGCUCGCCAGCAACCCCCAAUUUUUUUCAGGUUGACCUCGGAUCAGGUAGGGAUACCCGCUGAACUUAAGCAUAUCAAUAAGCGGAGGA
rnacentral:misc_RNA from 1 species